rnacentral:rRNA from 1 species
AUUGAACGCUGGCGGCAUGCCUUACACAUGCAAGUCGAACGGCAGCGGGCCUUCGGGUGCCGGCGAGUGGCGAACGGGUGAGUAAUGCAUCGGAACGUGCCAUUGAGUGGGGGGAUAACGUAGCGAAAGUUACGCUAAUACCGCAUAUUCUGUGAGCAGGAAAGCAGGGGGACCGCAAGGCCUUGCGCUCUUUGAGCGGCCGAUGUCAGAUUAGCUAGUUGGUGAGGUAAAGGCUUACCAAGGCGACGAUCUGUAGCGGGUCUGAGAGGAUGAUCCGCCACACUGGAACUGAGACACGGUCCAGACUCCUACGGGAGGCAGCAGUGGGGAAUUUUGGACAAGUGGGCGCAAGCCUGAUCCAGCCAUUCCGCGUGCAGGAUGAAGGCC